AAAAAAGGCAAGCAAAUAGCAAUUGAAAGCUGCUCUGUUUUGCUUCACCUAUCUGCUUCUGCAAAUCCGGCCAUUUCUGUGUAUAUAUAUAGAUAGAAGGUGAAAAGGAUGAUGUGGGUUCGAUCGAUUCGGCGGCCAUUAUCGUCGUUGGUUCUACUUCAGUCGCGUGCCCCGAAUUAUUCCUCAUUGUCAGCUUCAGCAGCUGCAGUAGAAGCGGAACGAUGUAUAAAGGAAGGACCCAGAAAUAACUGGACUAGAGAUGAAAUCAAGUCUAUUUACGAUUCACCACUCCUCGAUCUCCUCUUUCAUGGCG
rnacentral:misc_RNA from 1 species